rnacentral:lncRNA from 1 species
CGACAACUGAGUCACGUAAGGGAGACGCGCAGUGGAUGCCCACGCAUUGGGGUGGGCAUGUGCGGUGAGUGCGCGUGCUCAGGGCCCUCCUGGGGCUGCAUGGAGGCCUCGCUUCCUGAAGGCGGCGCUGUGGAUCCAGUCCCACGGACGCGGAGGGCCAGGCCGGGGACCACGGGAGAGCCGGGCAGAGGCAGGGUGUUGGCCAAGGUCACGGCCCCAGAGACCACAAUAGCGUUGUGUCGCUGCAGCCAGGAAGAGCAGGCGACAAGGCCUGAAAGCUCUACCUGAUAGUAUCGAGGCCUAAUAGAAUGGAUUUUAUGUGGUGUGGCCAUUCCAUUCAAAGCUCCUCACCUCUGAUGUUGAGAUUGAGUGUCGAUGGUAAUGGGUGUCUCCUUCCCGCAGUCCAAAGUGUGCUUGGAUGCUUCUAAUAGAAAAGAUGCUCGCUAAACCUUCAACAACAUUCCCAGCCCAGGAGCCAUGCCGGGAUGGGUUGCGAAUGGCAGGCAGGGCAGAGACAGCCGUCCUUGCCAGUCCUGUAUCCAGCACACGGGUACGUAGCUUUCAUUCUACUGGGGCAUGUCCCUGGAGGAGCCCACUAGCAGCUUGUCAUAGAACCCCUACCUUCCUCGCAGUUGCAACCUCUUCUAUCUUGAGAACUCUUAAUAAACUAGAG